rnacentral:tRNA from 1 species
UCCCUGGUGGUCCACUGGUUAGGACUCAGCACUUUCACUGCCAUGACCCAGGUUUAAUUCCUGAUCAGGGAA